rnacentral:rRNA from 1 species
CAGUCGCCGCGGGAAUACGUAGGGGGCAAGCGUUAUCCGGAAUUACUGGGUGUAAAGGGAGCGUAGACGGUUAAACAAGUCUGAAGUGAAAUGCCGGGGCUCAACCCCGGAGCUGCUUUGGGAACUGUAGAACUGGAGUGUCGGAGGGGUAAGCGGAAUUCCCAGUGUGGCGGCGAAAUGCGUAGAUAUUGGGAGGAACACCGGUGGCGAAAGCGGCCCUCUGGCUUGUAACUGACGCUGAGGCUCGAAAGCAUGGGGAGUAAACAGGAUUAGAUACCCGCGUAGUCCCUGUCUCUUAUAC